rnacentral:rRNA from 1 species
UACGGAGGGAGCUAGCGUUGUUCGGACUUACUGGGCGUAAAGCGCACGUGGGCGGCUUUUUAAGUCAGGGGUGAAAUCCCGGGGCUCAACCUCGGAACUGCCCUUGAAACCGGGAAGCUAGAAUCUUGGAGAGGCGAGUGGAAUUCCGAGUGUAGAGGUGAAAUUCGUAGAUAUUCGGAAGAACACCAGUGGCGAAGGCGACUCGCUGGACAAGUAUUGACGCUGAGGUGCGAAAGCGUGGGGAGCAAACAGG